rnacentral:rRNA from 1 species
GACGAACGCUGGCGGCGUGCUUAACACAUGCAAGUCGAACGGAAAGGCCCUGCUUUUGUGGGGUGCUCGAGUGGCGAACGGGUGAGUAACACGUGAGUAACCUGCCCUUGACUUUGGGAUAACUUCAGGAAACUGGGGCUAAUACCGGAUAGGAGCUCCUGCUGCAUGGUGGGGGUUGGAAAGUUUCGGCGGUUGGGGAUGGACUCGCGGCUUAUCAGCUUGUUGGUGGGGUAGUGGCUUACCAAGGCUUUGACGGGUAGCCGGCCUGAGAGGGUGACCGGCCACAUUGGGACUGAGAUACGGCCCAGACUCCUACGGGAGGCAGCAGUGGGGAAUAUUGCACAAUGAGCGGAAGCCUGAUGCAGCAACGCCGCGUGCGGGAUGACGGGUUUCGGGUUGUAAACCGCUUUCGCCUGUGACGAAGAGUGAGUGACGGUAAUGGGUAAAGAAGCACCGGCUAACUACGUG